rnacentral:misc_RNA from 1 species
CUGCUUCUUCAUCCAAUUGUCACUAGAAAAGACCAUAUUGCCUUCCAAUGAACAGACAAAGGAAAGAAGUGCUAUCAAACUACAUCAUCCCAUUCCAAACUUCAUCAAUUUCCAAUUCUAAGUCCUAAAUCCCUAAUUUUAAUUAACCCGCCAACCAAACUCAGCUAAGUACCAAAUAUGCUCAAUUCACCUGAACUCAACAAACUCCAAAAACCCGUAACUCAGUACCUCAGCUU